rnacentral:lncRNA from 1 species
CAGAUUGCCUCACAGAGAAGGUGAUAAUUGAAUUGUUUCAAAGAUGAACAGAAAGGUGUCACAUGAAGAAGGGUGGGAAAGUAUUAUGAGCAGAGGACAUAGCAUAUGUAAAGAAAGGAAAAAAUGAUGCACCGUGGCCCAUUCUGAAAGAACCCCGGCAGUGGGUAGGCCUCUCUCAUGGAACAUGUUGGAACUACUGAUUGGGCACACCGUUCUCGGAGAUUCUUGGACAAAUUCUGUUGUACAGGGUCUGAAAUUCAGCCCAUUCCCACCCAGAAAGCAAGGAGAUAUAAUCAAAGAAUUCAGGACCUGAUCAAACUCCUACCCCACUUUGAAGACAUCAUCCAGUUAUCCUAGUUAUCCAACCACCAGAAGGAAAGAAUAGUGAAAAGACUAAAGCUUCACAGACUUGUAUGGAAGAAAUGUUAACAGCAGAGGGGUGAAAUCUGUAUGGUGAACAUCCGAGUGGGUACAGAAUAAAGUGUCAAGGGCUGGUCUCUUGGUGCAUGGUCUCUUGGUACCCUGAAACUUCUGUCUCGCUGCUAUUAAAGUGACUCCUGAUUUGAG